GUAAAGCCAGAGAUGGCCGGGAGAAUGCCCAGCACAGGGAGCAGGCGGGCUGUAUGCUUCGGAUGGCACAGGGUACUCACAAAAUAUGUCUCCCUUAGUGUCCCACAGAAACAUUCUGGGUGAAAUCUGAAUUAAGUGCUAUGAGUCUUGAUAAAUUGGAGAAGUGCCCAAGAGAAAUUCAUCAUCCUGAGAUACAAAAGCUCCUGGUCGGCUAACGAGCGAAUGUCUGCGUGACCUCUGUCAUGGAGCCAUUUCUCCACACUAUACUAUCAAAGUUUAAAGGUAAAUUAUUAUAUAUUAGGAGAUGGUGUAAAGUGUAUGUUGUAAUGUGUAGGAUAUAUACAAAGAUACGUACUUGAAAGUCCGUAGAGGAAACAAAUUUUUACACCUUCUGUUUGACUGUUUGUCAUAUAUUUGGUUUUAUUUCCCAGGGAUCAGUGAAUUUUAACUCUGGAGUCCUCUAUGCUAAGGAUGCUCAGCUUACAGAUGAUGAAAUGUUCAGUAAUGGUGAGUUUUUCACCUUCUCCUUCAUUGUUUUGCUCAUCUGAAUAAAAAAAAAAAAAAGGCAAGAUUAAAGAAAAAGCAAUAGUUUUAUUAUUUUUACCCUGUUAUGUCUGUUUCCUCAGUAUUUGCUGGAGCUGUGCUUACCCAAGGUUUGGGUAAAACAAGCUUUGGGUUCCCUCUGUCUCACUGGGAGUUGCCCAAUUCAGUUGCAUCUGGUGAAAUUCACCCUGAGACCUUACAGAACCAGCUCCAACUACGUGAGAGCCAUUUGCAGUUCUCUCCAAACGCCUGGAGAAUGGGUGACGUUUCUGAGGAUCCGGCGAGCGUGCUUCUAUCAAAACUCAGUCUGUGAAAUUUCUGGGGAAAACCCUUCUGUGUCCUGAAGGGUUCAAACUCUGGUGAGGAUCCAGUUAUCAGGUGCUCACCUGGAUGGUUCCAGCUGCCAAAGGUAACACUUGUACUCUUGCCCUGUAGUUUACAUCUAUUGUAUUUUUGUUAUUUUGCAGGAUUUUUUGUCUUUGCAAAAUAUUGUGCAUUUCACUCUUUGGAACCUCUCAGAUGGUUCUUUGGUGCAGCACCACCCCAUGGGACACUUGGCUGCUGUCCUGAAGGGGUUGGUCGCUAGAAUUGUAAAUCCUGGAGAGUUUAUAAGUCUUCUGUCCCCAGGGAGGUAUCAUGCUUUGUUUACUUUUGUUCUGUUGGUUAGGUGCUGCUUCUCGUUGCAAGUACGAAUUUCAAACUGCCCUGUUCUUAUUUUAACUGUUUUCCUGGUUCUCUCCGUCCGGCAGGGAAAGACUCUCGUAUCCUUGUCGUCGGGCUCGGUGCUGUCCAAGAAGAUACAGAGACUAAAAAAAUCAUAAGAAGCAAAAUAUGACUGCAGGGAAAAGAAGCUGGAGAGAACAGAAGACUCAUCACGGCGGGACAGCGUGAGGACUGAAAGUGUAAGAAGAUGUGGAGGGAAACAGAGAAUCUGACAGGAGCAGCGAACG